rnacentral:tRNA from 1 species
AUUCUAUUAGUUUAUGGUUUAAAAUAUAACCCUGAAGAGGUUAAGAAUUGUGGAAUA